CGUGUCGUGAGAUGUUGGGUUAAGUCCCGUAACGAGCGCAACCCUUGUCCUUAGUUGCCAGCGGUUCGGCCGGGAACUCUAAGGAGACUGCCGGUGAUAAACCGGAGGAAGGUGGGGACGACGUCAAGUCAUCAUGGCCCUUAUGGGCAGGGCUACACACGUGCUACAAUGGCCAGUACAGAUGGUUGCCAACCCGCGAGGGGGAGCUAAUCCUGCAAAGCUGGUCGUAGUCCGGAUCGCAGUCUGCAACUCGACUGCGUGAAGUCGGAAUCGCUAGUAAUCGCGAAUCAGCAUGUCGCGGUGAAUACGUUCCCGGGCCUU
rnacentral:rRNA from 1 species